GGCUCGGUAGCUUUAGUUGGAUAAGCACUUGUCUUGCGUAUAAGGGUCGUAAGUUCAAAUCUCAGCUGAGCUG
rnacentral:tRNA from 1 species